GAUGAACGCUGGCGGCGUGCCUAAUACAUGCAAGUCGAGCGAACAGACGAGGAGCUUGCUCCUCUGACGUUAGCGGCGGACAGGUGAGUAACACGUGGAUAACCUACCUAUAAGACUGGGAUAACUUCGGGAAACCGGAGCUAAUACCGGAUAAUAUAUUGAACCGCAUGGUUCAAUAGUGAAAGACGGUUUUGCUGUCACUUAUAGAUGGAUCCGCGCCGCAUUAGCUAGUUGGUAAGGUAACGGCUUACCAAGGCAACGAUGCGUAGCCGACCUGAGAGGGUGAUCGGCCACACUGGAACUGAGACACGGUCCAGACUCCUACGGGAGGCAGCAGUAGGGAAUCUUCCGCAAUGGGCGAAAGCCUGACGGAGCAACGCCGCGUGAGUGAUGAAGGUCUUCGGAUCGUAAAACUCUGUUAUUAGGGAAGAACAAAUGUGUAAGUAACUAUGCACGUCUUGACGGUACCUAAUCAGAAAGCCACGGCUAACUACGU
rnacentral:rRNA from 1 species